rnacentral:rRNA from 1 species
AACGGAAGGUGCAAGCGUUGCUCGGAAUCACUGGGCGUAAAGGGUGCGUAGGCGGCUUCUUAAGUCUGGUGUGAAAGCCCAGGGCUCAGCUCUGGAAGUGCACUAGAAACUGAGGAGCUUGAGUACCGGAGGGGAGAGUGGAAUUCCUGGUGUAGCGGUGAAAUGCGUAGAUAUCAGGAGGAAUACCGGUGGCGAAAGCGACUCUCUGGACGGUUACUGACGCUGAGGCACGAAAGCGUGGGGAGCAAACAGG